rnacentral:lncRNA from 1 species
GGUUGGAGAAGAAGAACCUAGUGCUGAAUCCAGGGUUUGUGACAAGGCUGGAAGAACAUUUGGUCUGGCUAAAGUGUGGAAAGAGAUUCACGCUCGUGCCAAGUAUCAAGAGGGAUACUCUGAUGGACUGUUCAGAGCCCCAAUUUCUGUAACUAUCACUUCUCAGUGUAUUGAAAGAUGCUAAACAUUAGAAUCAACUGAACUGACUUUAUCAUUUUAUUACACUAUAUCAAAUCGGGUUCUUUGAGAUUCUUAUUCUCCAAACAAUGAAAGGAAUAAAUAUAAACUGUGCCUGACAAGUGAAGAAA